rnacentral:misc_RNA from 1 species
GAUGAAGAACGCAGCGAAAUGCGAUAAGUAAUGUGAAUUGCAGAAUUCAGUGAAUCAUCGAAUCUUUGAACGCACAUUGCGCCCGCCAGUAUUCAGGCGGGCAUGCCUGUCUGAGCGUCAUUUCAACCCUCAUGCCCCUAGGGCGUGGUGUUGGGGAUCGGCCAAAGCCCGCGAGGGACGGCCGGCCCCUAAAUCUAGUGGCGGACCCGUCGUGGCCUCCUCUGCGAAGUAGUGAUAUUCCGCAUCGGAGAGCGAUGAGCCCCUGCCGUUAAACCCCCAACUUUCCAAGGUUGACCUCAGAUCAGGUAGGAAUACCCGCUGAACUUAAGCAUAUCAAUAAGCGGAGGA